UUUUCUUUUUCUUUUCUUUCUCUUUCUUUCUUUCUUUUUUUUUUCAACAGCUAUUAGGGUGACAAGCCUUUCCAAAGGCCAGCCGUUGGCGAGAGUUUCCAGGAAGCUGGUCUGGCACCAGGCUAGGAUUGGAGCAACUUUAACGAGUUAACUUCAGAAGGAAGGAAUUGUCAGGGAAGGUUUAAGGCUCAGCAAACUUUUUGAAUUAUUUUGCAAAAAAGUCCUGGCUUUCAAAUUCAAAGCCGUGUUUAGCCGUGACUGUGGGAAGCCAGAGCUUAUUUCAAAAGACGCUGCUGCUGGCACAUUACUGAGCCCUCCCCUCCAGGUAUCUGCCUUGACUCCCCAGGCCAGGCCCUGCGAGGGCCAUCUGGUGCCUGGAAACACGGGGGUCACCUUCCACGUCCCCCCAGCACCCCUCCGCCCACGUGCCUCUCCCGCCUCCGGCCCCCGGGGCUGUGUGCACACACGCACACACGCGCACACCUUCCCCAAGCAGGAAGCCGCCCUCUGCCAAGAGCGCAUGGAAUUCAGAUUUCCAGAGAGUGUCCUUGGCCUCCAGCUCCACAGCCACACACUGAAGAAAGGUCCUAGUGUGUGUGGCGGGGGCGAGAGAGAGGGGCCUCCAUCUCUGCUCCCGUCUCUCUGGGCCCCAAGAAAAACCCACAACUGGCUGCGCUCGCCUCAGCCGCACCCGGCUCAGUCGCAUUCCUUCCCUUCCUGAGCCCACGCUGGGUGGCCCCACAGCCCCGCUUCGACGCCUCCCUCCCCACCCGCGGGGAGACCGGGGCCAGGCCCGCGUGGGGCAGCUGGCAAGCACACGUGAGGGGGCCGCACCCCAGGCCCACGGUGGCCGGAAACCACCGAGGGGCCCAAGGGGCUGGGCAUCCCAGCCGUGGCCUCCGCCAGCUGCGGCGGGAGCAGAGAGAGCGCGGCCCCCGGCAGCCCACCCCAGGCCGAGCGCCUCUCCAUAUCCCACCUGCAGACGAUCCCCACACCCCCGGAGGGAGCACUGCCCCCUGCACCCGUGCCCCCCACCCCCAUCCACGCCGGGCCGUCUGGGCCCUGAGAUCUGGCAUCCGGGGGAGUUAAACAUUGACAGGCAGAGACCGACAGCGGCCCAGUAAAUGAGACAAGUCCAUGAUCAGCCACACACGGUGGACAGGCUGGUCACGCUUAGCUUCUCUUUGACCCCAGUCACUGGGACCUUGCCACCUGCAUGGCCGGGGAGCAGCAGGUGGGAAGCGCGAGCCUCCCGCAGGCCAUCGGAGUCACGGAGGCCCGUGCGCAGCAGGAGUUACGGCUCCUCCUGUGCUCGGCACUCAGGGCGGCCUGGCCCAGAAAGGGGGGUUGCUCCGGGGCCUGGCCGGUCUCCCUGGGGAGGAGCCUGUGGCUUUGCCGCCCAGGCCUCUGGGCCUGCAGCCCCGGGGACAAGCACCGGCUGGUGGCCACCCCACCCUGUUCCUGCCGGCUGGGGUCUCCUGUCGUGGCCGGAGAGGCCGAUUUCCCUGUCCCUUCUGGACAGCUUGGACCUCAUUGCUCGGUGUUCGUGUGAUGCCUCAACUCCACCGGCCUCUCCUUCCGAGUGUGGCCCACAGUGGACUGAACUGGGGGGGGGAUGCUCUUCCUGUGUCCCUUGGUGGGGGGCCUGGUGUGAUAGAAACAGCAGGGUAAGGAGCAGGCCACAGCCAUGACCAAGGCCUCAAGGACAUGCUCCUGCUGCUGUCCUAAUAGCCAGGGGCCUGGGGCUGGUGCAGGCUGCAGUACAGGUCCCACUAGGACAGAUGGCCCCCACUGGAACCAAAGGAGCAUGGGACUUGGAGUCAGGAGUCCCAUGGCCUGGUCCCAGCUGUCCGCACCUGGCAUGGCUUCUGGGCAGGGUCCCCUCAUCUCUGCUGUCGGCCCCAUGUCCCAGGCUGUCCAUCUCCCAACAGCCACAGAAGAGUUUCCCCACCCCACCCACCAGCCCCCGGCCCGACGCAGCCCACUUCCAGCACAAGACAGGGGUAGAUGGUAGAGAGCUGCCGUGGGCUGUGGGGGUCCCCGGGGAGGACACUCCAGUGAUGUCCUCUGAACCCGGUGGAUGGCCCCACCCCAGUCCCUACACACACACCAGCCAGAGUUCGGUCACGCCGGGAGCCCGUUUUCAGGGGUGUCCCUCCACCUGCGGCUGCCCCCACCUUGGAGUCUGGGCCCCUGUUCUUGCUGUGGUCUUGCCCCGCAGUCAGGGCCCCGUGAGCCCCCACCUGGAGCCCACCGGCUCGGCUGGGGGUUCCAUGGGGUAGCUCAAGAAAAGAAAAAAAAACAUUCUAGUGUUUUAAACUGGAAAAGGUUCCAUUCGCUCCAACAGAUUCCGAAGCUGAGGCCGGCGCAAACGCAAGACCGCCGCCGGCAGGCCCGCAAGAAGGGAAGGGAGGAGAACCGCCCCUGGGCCGCCGGACACGGGGGACGAGACGACACAGGGCCCCACAGCAGCCUGGGCAGGGCCGGGCGGACAAGCAGGUUAAAAGGCUCGAAGCUAAAGGUCCAGCGUGACCUUACCUUGCACUUUAUCCCCGAGAUACGGAGCCUGGCUACCGGAGCAGUGGCGGGGGGCCUGGGGUCGGCGGCUGGGAGCUGCCUGCCUCCUGUCCAGGGGCUGGGCUCUGUGGGCAGCGGGUCCACAGCCAGGGCUGUGGGGGUGGGCCCUGAGCUCGCUCUCGUGGAACAGCCUCACCCCCCGCAUCUUUCCCAUGUCCUCUCCUGCCUGUGACGUAACCCCAACCCCUGCCUCAGUUUCCCCAGCAGGGCCCCGCAGGACAGCGUUGUGGCGCGUGUUAGACUUUGGAAGGCACAGCCUAGUCUGAUCUUACGUGAUGGUUCGGUUCCAAAGACCAAUCAGGUAGAGUCAAAAUGACCUUUGAAGAUCCCUUGAAUUGCCUCUUAAAAAUCGCUUCCCGGAGCUGUGCAACAUCCCCGCAGAGCUCCGAGUGGCCUGCGCCCACUGAGGCGGAGCAGCUCUGGGCAAAUCCGGAGGGCGUCCCAGCUCCAGGCCAGCCUGCUCCCCAGUGUCUUUCGAGGGACUGCCUCUGGGGCUGCUGGGGUGGGCAAAGCAGACGUGGGCCCAGGGGAAGGGCGUUGGGGCGCCAGGGACGCUGGGGACGCCAGGCUCUGAGGCCGGACUCUGUGUCCCUCUCCCUUUGCCUCCCUUUCUGCCCUUCCCAGAUAGUGCCCCAGGCCUCGCGUGAGCCGACCGGACCCGAAAUGGCGGAACUGUCAGACCUCUGCCCAGGAGACAGUCCUUGCCAAGGACCAGCAACUGGGGUGGCCUGUGCCCAGGACACCCACCCAGUCCCAAGAGGCCUGGCCCACGUAAAGGACGACCGCCUGGCCGGGGGCUCUGGGCCACCCCCAGAAGCCGGAAGCUCGGCCCGCCGCCCUGUGUCUCACGCAUGCAAGUCGGCCUCACCCAGGAGACCCGGGAGCCCCCGAGCGGCCUGCGGGUCGAUGAGGCCCCCCACCCUCCAUGCACCAUGGGGUCAGGUCCCCGGUGUGUGCAGAGUCCAGCGGGCAGACUUCCUGGAGGAAGCGGCCACAGAGAGACUCCAACCAAAGCGCAUAAUCUCCGUCCACAAGCUGCUCUCUCCAGCCGAUGGGCCGCAGAAACACUUGGGAGGCGAAGACCCAAGCCAGAUGCCAGGCCCCUCGGCCUCCACUGGCUGGUGACCUCCCUGCCCCUGCAUGCCCUCCGGGAGGCCUGGCUUCCCCCUCACAGCCCCGGGCUCCCCAGGAGAACGUGCGUCUGCGACAGAGCCCCGGCUCGGCCUCUGCCUCUUGGGACAAGGCGAGGCUCGGCCCUCCCGUGCAGUGCUCUCUGACCCGCCGUGACAGCUGUGGGUCCCAGCCAACGGCAGCCCCCCACCAAGUGUGACACAGACACGUAGCCUCUGGGGACAGGAGUGCCCGGUGGCCAGCAAGCCUGGGAACACGGCCGUCCUGGCUGGGCUGCCUGGGGAGCGGCCCCGGAGAAUGGGGCCACGGCCAUGCCUCCAUGUCCUUGUUCGCACGGGGCCACGGGCAGGCAGGAUGCCCGGCCCACACCGCCCCUCACUCUGCUGGCGGCUGUGGCUGCCUUGGCGGGUAGGCCCGACGGUAAACGGUGAGAAUGAUGGCAGAAGCACAUCGGAGCACGUGUGGCCACCCCAGAGAGCGGGACGGAAGCCCAGGUCUCUCCCUGUACCUCCCUGGGAGCUGGCCCCUUCCGUCACCACUGGAGGCUGUGGGCAGUCCCCGACUGCGGCCUGCGUUGGGGACAGGAACUCAAGGCUGCACAUGGACCCCAUCCACAUCCCACGGAGACCUGCGACCUGGCGCUUUCAGAAGCUCUCAGUGAAGUACAGGGUCCCCCCAAGUGAGGUAUUGCAUUGGCUAACGCAGUUCUCGGAUCCGGGCCGGGCCAGACCCCCGACCCCACAGCCUCCACGGCUCACACCUGCACCAUGAGGCCCAUCUCCAGGGUCCACAAGAGGACGCCGAGGCUCGGAGAGGUGACUUGACUGCCGCAGUGCCUUCCAGGCCAAACGGAUACACGCUGGCCGGGGUUUCCGGGAAGACAGCGUCUCUGGGCGUGGCGAACACCUGAGCACCAGCCAGUGGGACGUAAGGGUCAGAUUGGCCGCGUGUGACCACAGUGCCAAAGCCUGCGGGACACGUUAGAGAUUCUGUUGUGAGAGAAGCGAGCGCUCAUGUAGAAGGCACAACAAGGCCAAGAUUCACGAAGGCCGGCCUCCUCCAAGGUCCUCCGGGCCAGCUGCCCAGGGGAGUCGGAGCUCACCGCCCCUGCUCAUCGGAACUGCUGACACCAGGUAAGACUCUUUUCACACACACGUGACUUCCCUGCGCCUCUCACGCUGUGCCGUGCUGCUCUCCUUCCUACCGGUGAGUGUGUGCGCGCUGGUGUCUGGGCAGCUGGGCUGUGCCCCUGGUUUACACCAGCCUCAGCUCAUGCAGCCCCUUGUGCUAGGUGGAUGCUGGGCCCUGCUAGCUUGAAGCUACUGCUUUGAGCAAUGGCACAGCCCCCAUUUGUAGGAGCACCGGACGCUGGCGCGGGUGAGGGCGGCUUCCCAGGUAGUUGUAAGCAUUUUCCCAAGAAGCUGUAGUGAUUGAGACAGCGGCAGCACCGCGACUGUGACAGCUUGCCCACAUCCACGCCCAAGCCAGCCCUUGGCGCCCUUCCCAGGGCCUGCCGGGCAUGGUGGAGGACGAGGAAGCUGUUUUUCCUUUAAGCUGAAGAAGGUUUGUGGCUCUCCGAGGCUGUCUGGACUCCCUGUCGCAGAACUGAAUUGCCUGUUCGUAUCUUUUGCUCAUUUUUGCUUCUCAGCUUGUAGGACUUGUUUACUGAUGAAAGACACUAACCUUUUGUCACGUAAGGUACAGAAGUCUUCCCCAGGCUAGUAGCCUUUGCGUAUGGUUGUUUUUAUCAUAGGAAAUGUUUUAUCCGUCUAAAGUGAUACACCUAUCUUUUGCUUUAUGUAAAAGAAAGAUUUUCCCAGUGCAAAGGAACACAACCAUCUCCUAAAUUUACUUGUGAUAGAAAUGUAUGGAUGUCGUCUAUGUGAAUUUUAAUACGUUUACCAUUUAUGCCUAACAUCCUGGGUGUUCACCAACAAUCUGAAAGCGUAAAAGUACCGUCUAUAACCUUUUUUAAAGUUUAUUUUUGUUUUUGUUUUUUAUUAUAUCAUAUACAAUCUUGAGAAAUGAACGUAAAACAUAAAAUAUAACAUCUCUUGAGGAAGACACAGAAGUCUAUCUCUGGUCCUUGGGUUUGGCAGUGAGUUUUGAAGUACAACACUGUGAGCUCAGUCAGUAGACAAAGAAGUUGACAAGUUGGACUUUAUCAAAUUACAGGUAUUUGCUCUGCAAAAGGCUCACUGCUGAGGGAACCAGACAUAAGCUCUGGACUUGAAGAAGCUGUUUCCACGUCUCCUAUUUGCCCAAGGACUUGUGUCUAGAAUCUAUAAAGAACCCUGGCAACAUGACAGCAGGAAAGCCACCAACCCAGUUUAAGAAAUGGAUUACAAGUCCACGGGAAAAGAUGUUCCGAGUAACACAGCCAUGCUGGGAAAGAGCUCGGCAUUGUCUUCUGAGGUUCAGUGUGCACUGGCCAUGCAACCUGGCAGUCCUUCUCCCCGAUACUAACCCAAGGACAUCGAAUAUGUACACUCAACAAACCUGUACACGAACGCACACAGCCACUUUACUCAAAAUCGCCCAAACCUGGCAACAGCCAAGAUGUCCCUCCGCAGGUGAGUGGGUAAACAAGCAGUUUUAUAGCCACACAGUGGAGCGCUGCCCGGCAACCAGAAGCCGUUAGCCGACAGCUCGUGCGGCGACGUGGCUGACCCUCACAUGCGUUUCGCGAGGCCGUGAAAGAAGCCAGAUGUACGGGCUCCGUGUUCUGUGAUCCCAUUUCUAUGACAUUCUGGAAAAGGCAGAGCUACCAGGACAUAAAACAGAUCAAUGGUUGCUCGUGCUUGCGGGAGGGGGCAUGUCUGACUUCCCAGGGCUUGCACCAGGGAGUUCCUAGGGCUGCGGAACUUCUCUCUGUGUUGCUCUGAUGGUGGAUACGUGAAUCCAGGCAUCGUCAAAACCCACAGAACCAUCUCCCAAGAGUGAAUUUUGCUGUAUGCAAACCAAAGAAGAGAAAACAUCAGCCAGCCAGCCGCAGGACCCUAGGAAUGGAAGCGUCCUGGGACAAGUGAAUUCGUGUGACGAAUGCGUGACACGGCACCACGGAGCACGGAAAGGACGGGAAGUCGGCGGUCCCUGGGCUCGGGAAGCCGUCUCAGACUGUCCUGAACACGGGGCUCUAGUCGGUAAUCUUACUUCGCAUAGGGAAACUGUGGGUCAAACAAGUAAGUACAUAAAUUAUCGAUAACGGGAACCUGGUUUCUCACUCUCUGAGAGAUGCAGUAGCAAAAAGUGUGUCAUGCUGGGGGACACAAAUGGCCCCCGCGGCUGCGAUUUCAGUAUGAACCCGUGUUGCUCUUCCUGUAGGCACAGCUAUAAAUGCAGACACGUGCGUGUCCUUGGCUUAUGGACGUACGCACACUUCCUUGCUCUGUCCGUGGAGAGGCCCCAGAAGCCAUAAAGACCCGAGAGCCACGAGCGACCCCAGGGCCAGAUCCUGGUCUCUAAACACCACCCCCUUUCCGGUUGGAGGAACCAGUGCUCUCUGGCUGAGGACGAGUCUGGGGCCACGGCAGGGCGACGGACGAGGAGCCUGGCGUUACCGUGAGGGGCUCGGAAGGAAGCGAAAGCUCCGAGUGGGUGGGGGCGUGUUGAGCAGGCGCAGGAGCCCAAAGGACCCUCGAUCCUGGGGUCGAAGCCAGAGCAGUUUGAACCACAAGACAAAUAACAAUUAGUAUCAAAUUGUAGCUCAAAACCCAAGAAUCCCUGAGUUCGUCCUGAUAGAAACAAGCAGAUAACCGGAAGAGGUACAGAUCCUAACUUCCACGGAGAAAUGCUCAAAUCGGUUGGUGGGACUGGCAGCCGACAGGCAGAGUAUCUCCCCGCAGGUGUCCCUUCGUGGCUGGGGGGUCCUAACGCUGACUUGUUCCCUCCCAGUCGCAGAAGGUGGCACGCCAGGCGCCCCCCUCGAGGACAGCAGACUCAGUGACCCGCUCCCCACGAGGCCAAGGAAAGGGGGAGGAGCCAUCUGACACGACCCCGGGGGUCAAGGUUAGCAGCACCAGUGAAUCACGUUGCUGUCGUGAACCCCGACGAGAUGCGAAGCGCCUCACGUCAGCUCCCGGCACACCCAUUAGCCCAGUCUCCCCCGAAGUCCCAGAGGAGCCCGACAGCGGGACGCGGACUCCCGGCCAGCAUUCCUCACCAAUGCCAAGGUCACAAAAACCGAGCAAAGACCGAGGAGGAGGCGUCACAACUCAGAAAAGGCCUGAAGACGCGCUGGAUGGAAACGUACCACAACUGGUGGACCAAAGGACUCAGCUACUGCUGAGCCCGGCAAACGAACUAAGCUUUAGCUCAAUACAAGCGUUGCCGCGACAGUGACUUCUUUUAGCAAUUUCACCACGGUUGUACCACACUCGCGUGAGGCGCCGGCGUUAGGGGAAGCUGGUAAAUAGUACACAGGGGCCCCUGUAUUAUUUUGCCUCUCCUGUAAGUCAAAAAAAGCAAAAGCAAAAAAAAAAAAAAAAAGACAAAACAUAAAAAAACAAAAAAUCCAACAACAGCCCCACAGCAACCCCAAAUCAAAACGAGCAGACAGAUCCUGUCUACGACAGUAGAGUACACUCUUCAGUAUCAGAUCGGGACGUACAAGAACCCUAAGGAGAGAUGGUUAGGCCUCGGUGGCAGCCGUUCAAGAAGACGUAACCUAACCAAGGGGGAGACAGAUUUUGCUCCACUUUCUAGAAGACUCAACAGACAAAAGACUCUCCCCCUCGAGCCGUAAUAGAAACCCUGCCGUUGGCGUGCGGGCAUCUGGCUCCUGACUCUAGACCUGAUCUGGAAAUGCCAUCAACCGAGAACCGGCCAUAUUCUCGAAGAGCGGGGAGCUCAGAGCUCUGCUCUACCAGGUGCCCACACCUCGUGCGACGCCAUGCCCCAGGAGACGGCGCCGCCGACAGAGAGACGUGGCGGGCCGGCAGGACAGGGCGACACAUCGGAAAGAGCCUGCACGCACAGGGAUGCUCGCCACGCACCUGCGGUGGCCGGCACAGGGUGGGAGAGGGUGACCAGGGACAAGUGGCUGUCCAUGUGGGAGACACGUUCCAUUGGACCCUCGUGCCGGACACCAAGAACUCAUCAUCUGCAUUCCCGGGGGGUUGAAGACUUACAGAGAACAGCAAAACUCUGAAGCUUUUAGAACUGAUUCUAGAACUGCCUCCAUGACCUCAGUGUUUGGAAGGGUUUCCUCAAACUUAAACAAUAUCCGGACGGGGAAAGGCUGAUGUAUGCGACCGCACUCGAGAUCCCGAGCUCGUCAGCAAACACGACGGGCAAGGCGGGAAGGGCGACCGCGCGGCGAGUGCGCGGCGAAGAAAGAAGCCCCGCGGGUCCACCGGGAAAACCAGGGGCGCGUGCGGAGCAGCGGAGCGGACCAGACAGCAGCCGAGAAGGACCCCGUGGCCCAAGGACACGCGUGAAGGUGUCGCACCCAACGGGCAGUCAGACACCGUGGGGAGCGCGUGGCCCGUGGGGGAGAGGGGCUGACUUCCAGCAGGAAACCGCACAGACAUGACUUAGUCACACCCGGGAGAAGGGCUCUGAGUGACGGGCUCUCUGCCCGUGACAUUCCCAGAGAGCCCAGGAGAGUGACCGGAAAGCGGGAAGAAGACGAGGACAGUCAACAGCUCCCAGGCCUGGGAGGGGCGAGAGCCCCGGGGCCGAGAUUCCGGUGCCCUGGGUUAUGUUACACAGUUGUCAAGUGACAGAGCUGAAACCCCGUCCAGGAUUCAGAUGUUCUUUCAAAAAAAAAAAAGAAGGAAAGGAGAAAGAACACAAAUACAUAUUUUUAUGUCUGCAUCACUUGUCUACGGGAGGAGAGAAGGGCAGAGCGGGGCCAGGCCAGUGGGGCCAGGCCAGCGGGGCCGCUCUCGGAGCACCCGGGAUGACCAGUGUCCUCUCUGGAGCCCGCUGACGGAGCGGGGCUGGGGGCGGGGGGGCUACCUGACCCCUGAGAAAGGCCCAGCCCUGGUGUUUUAGGAAAUUAAACUGCACAUCAGUUGCCCGCCCGGAGCGGGUGGGGCCUGCACCUGCCGGAGAGGAACGUGGGCCGUUUGGUUUAAUCCUGGGAACAGCACGAGGGGCCCCGAGGCGAGGGGCAGAGGGCUUCCACAGGUGUGUUUUUCCGAACCAAAGGAACGGGCUGCUCUGCCCGUGUCUGUGUCAGAGACCCAUCCCCCACUGUCGCAGGCCACUGCUGGCCGGGGCGGGCUGGGGGCGGGGGUGCAGCCCACCCCCCUGACUCCUGCCACUGCCACAGCUGCUGGCAGGAGGCACAGGGAGUCUGGGGGAUGGGGCCCCGUGUCCUCGGCAGACACAGCGGCACGCUGCCCCCUUCAGGCACGGGCUCGGGGGCAGGUGGCCCCAGGAGAGCGGGCUUGUCACCCCUACCGCCAAGGAGCUUGAGAUGGGACAAGACAAGCAGCACCCCCGGCCCCCCGGCUUCGGAGCAGGCUGGGCCCACGAGCACAGGUACCGCUGCCGGGACAGCUCUUGCUGGAUACACCCCAGGACGAGCCCUCCGUGCCCCAGUGGCCGGGAAGUCACACUUGCGAUAAGACGGCCCCGUGUUCUGAUGCUUUCAUCCCUUGGCUGCCUUGGCCUUGUCACGGCCAGAAGCCGGGCCUCAGUUUUCAGGGCAGAACAAAACGAUUUUGUUUUCUAGGAAAGUGGGCGGUCUGCGAUGGCGAGUGUGGCCUCUGGCGUGGCGGCGGCACAGCUGGCCACUCCGGCUGCCAAGCCUCACCUCCCUCCGGAGCAGAACCGACCAGAACCGACCAGAACCGACCAGCCCAGCAGCGUCCUCCCCAGCCAGCAGCCCUGCUCCAGGGCAAUUUCAAGUUCUUU